AACGAACGCUGGCGGCAGGCUUAACACAUGCAAGUCGAGCGCCCCGCAAGGGUAGCGGCAGACGGGUGAGUAACGCGUGGGAACGUGCCCUUUGCUACGGAAUAGCUCCGGGAAACUGGAAUUAAUACCGUAUGAGCCCUACGGGGGAAAGAUUUAUCGGCAAAGGAUCGGCCCGCGUUGGAUUAGCUAGUUGGUGGGGUAAAGGCCUACCAAGGCGACGAUCCAUAGCUGGUCUGAGAGGAUGAUCAGCCACAUUGGGACUGAGACACGGCCCAAACUCCUACGGGAGGCAGCAGUGGGGAAUAUUGGACAAUGGGCGCAAGCCUGAUCCAGCCAUGCCGCGUGAGUGAUGAAGGCCUUAGGGUUGUAAAGCUCUUUCACCGGAGAAGAUAAUGACGGUAUCCGGAGAAGAAGCCCCGGCUAACUUCGUGCCAGCCGCCGCCGUAAUAC
rnacentral:rRNA from 1 species